CUUUAGCCAAACUAGUAUUAAAGGUCCCGCCUGCCCAGUGAUACAUUUUAACGGCCGCGGUAUCCUAACCGUGCAAAGGUAGCGUAAUCACUUGUCUCCUAAAUAGAGACCAGUAUGAACGGCUAAAUGAGGACAGGCCUGUCUCCUGUGGCCAAUCAGUGAAACUGAUCCUCCAGUACAAAAGCUGGAAUAUAAACAUAAGACGAGAAGACCCUGUGGAGCUUCAAACACCCACUAACAAGCAUUCCUGCCCCUAGUGUAAAGUUUUAAGUUGGGGCGACUUCGGAGCAAAACGAAACCUCCGAGAACAGAGCCACACACUCUUACCGAGGCCUACAAGCCAAAGUUAAAACAACAGACCCAGUAAUACUGAUCAACGAACCAAGUUACCCCAGGGAUAACAGCGCUAUCUUCUUCAAGAGUCCAUAUCGACAAGAAGGUUUACGACCUCGAUGUUGGAUCAGGACACCCAAAUGGUGCAGCCGCUAUUAAUGGUUCGUUUGUUCAACGAUUAACAGUCCUACGUGAUCUGAGUUCAGACCGGAGAAAUCCAGGUCGGUU
rnacentral:rRNA from 1 species